rnacentral:lncRNA from 1 species
GCAAAGCAGUCAGAGAAGAAUCUAGCUCUUUCUCCACCCCUAUUUCUCAGUGGAGUAACUGGCAUCUAGAAGUGGAACCACUCACCGAGGAGGAUAUACAUCAUUCAGUGGCUAGAGGCUCUGAGGAAGCAACUAUUGCAGACUUACUCAGAGACAGUCACUUAAGGUAGCUUCAAGGAGUUGGACUUCUGGCAGCAAAGAGAACCAGCUAUGUACUCAAGAUAAACCACCCUUGGCAACAGAGCUGUGCUGCAGAGAGGGCUCCAAGAAGAAAGGACUUUGGGACCCUACAUUACUAAAGGAAUGAGCAGCAUGGUCACGUGUAAUUUCUAUGUGUGAUGUACAAUCAUUGUAGCAGGAGAAGGAAGCCUAGUUUAUGGGGAGAAUGUUUUGUAGUUCUGCUCUUCCUAUGCUGUGUUGUUGGCUUGAACUACCUAGGAAGAAAUCAAGGAGACUGUAACCUGAGCCAGUGAGGACAAAAAAGUCAAUUACCAGAAAGGAUGGAAGUACAACUAUAUGAUGGAAAGGAACCACAUGGUCUGGGUUCUAUCCCUGACUCUGAUGCUCAUCAGGGAGAUGAUCAGAAGACACCAGGAUUGGUUGGGGCUAGAAGAAGGAGAGGGAAAAACACCUUUCUGGUUCCUGACAUUCUCAAGGCCUAACUGUCCUUUGACUCCAGGCUGUGGAUAAGAACCAUUUUUUAAAAAGUAUGUCAUCAUGCAACUGGGAAAUAAGAAAUACAGGAAAUGGGGUACAGAAAUCUAUCCUGAACUACAGGAAAAUAGAAGGGGAGAUGAGAUAGAAGGGAGGGCAGAUUAGAGAAAGGGGUAUACAGAAUGCAUGCCAUCUUGGGGUAGAGGGAGGGAUGAUAUGGGGAGAAAAUUUGGAACUCAAAAUCUUGUGGAAG